CUCACAGCUCUGAGGAGGCUGGAAGUCCAAGAUGGGUACAGUUCUGGCGAGAACACUCUUCCAGGCUUGUAGACACCUUCAACUCUGUCUCACGUGGCACAGAGAGGAAGCAAGCUCUCCACUAUGCCUUCUUACAAGGGCACUAAUCCCAUCACGGGGCCCCACCCUCACGGCCUCAUCUAAACCUAAUUACAUCCCAGAGGCCCCAUCUCCGAAUUCCAUCACAUUGGGGGUUAGAUCUCCAACAUAUGAAGGGGGGGGGCACAAUUCAGUCCAUAGCACCCACCUACUAAAAUAGCUGACUGGUUAUUUGUACAGUGCUCAUGUGCAAAUUUGCAUUUGGAAUCGUAUUAGUGGGAAUAGUUGUUCCUCAUGCAUGUCUUCUACGCAAAAACUUUGUUUUCCUCCAAGCAAUUCCCCCUUCGGUAUGCUGGCAAGGACAAUUGAAGAGGAAUGGACCAAGUUAGAAUCCCAGUAGUUGGAAGCAGACGGAAGGGUUAAUGGCUCUUCACAGCUCUGGAACUGCUCGUUUUAGCUGUACAGGCUCUGAACUACUGGUAGUCGGAGACCCCAGGGAUCUCCGAUAAUUUCCCCCUGAUUAUUGUUGUACUAAUUCUUCACUCCUCCAACCCCUCUGUAGUUGAUGGGUGAAAUAGCUCUUAAAGCAGCAAACAAAUUAGGCAAAUGCGUUUGAUCAUAAGUGCAGAUAAUACACACCCCACAGACUCUCUUUUGUGGCAUUUUUCUAUACAUAUUGACACAGCUGAUCUUUGCUUCUGCAGCAUGUACAUAAGUAUUAUCCAAGAUGACUGGCAUAUGGUGCUGUUACGUGUCUUUUAAGAAAAUCUCCAACCGAACCCAACAUUUCCCAUGUGGCACCUGAUAUGCAGUGGGCGAGGGGUAUUUAUAGAACAGUAAUAAUGAUAUUUGAAAACACUGUAAUGUCUAAAGCCUCUAUUUCUCUGCAAAUUUCAUCCAGAAGGCUGCAUUUUGCAGACACAAGCUCCCGCCAGCCAUUCACGGCGAUUGCUGGAAUGUUGAACAUUGUUGAGAUUCACAAAGUGGCUGUUUGGAGCGUUAACUGCCUCUGAACCCUUCAGAAGGAAAGUCACCUUCUCACGUGGAUGGAAAUAUUUGCAGGCGUGAUGGAGUGACUGAUCCCACCUUUGUACGGCCUCUGUACAUCGCACAUGCUUCUGCGGGGACAUCGGUGCCGGUUUGUUUCUGCAUCUGCGUCCUCUAGUAGACAGCGAACUCCUCAGCGGUUGUGACCAGUUUGGUGUUUAUGUUCCUGCGCCUGCGGUAAUGCCUGAUGCGCACUGAGCGCGAUGUUGAAUGAACGCGAUGUUGAAUGAACAGACGGAAGCGCGUGGAAGAUUGCCGCUGUCCAAAGAUCCCCGGCUUCGAGACUUCACUGUGAUGCGGUCACUGUUAGGAGGCAGUUUUUCGGACACUUUCAGUAAUAAAUCUUUUUUGAUAUCAUCUAUAGUAGCUCUGCCUCAUAGCAAGUUCCAGGCUAAAGCAGGUAAGGGGACAACAAACUGCCGUGGAGGCAGACAGACCUGGCUUGAGUCCUGGUUUUGUCACUAUGGGUUUACCUCAAUCUCUCGGAGCCUCCAUUUCCUCAUCUGUAAAAUAGGGGAGAACGUAAGGGCAGAGCCUGGUUGCCUGCCAACUAUUUCACUCCUCUUCUUGCUGACGGCAACGACGACGACAAAUCCUGAUUUUGUUUAGCUCCCGAUAUGCCCAAUCCCAGCAGAUGCGCUGAGACGACCUAAGGUGUCCAUUCCUGCUACCAAUGGUUGGUUGGUAGGGUCCGUAGGAGAGCAAGUGACCUAAUUCUGACUGAUGAGGCCAAACGGGACAUCUGGCAGAAGCUUCCCAGAAAAGAUUUUCCUCUCUGAUAAGUGACACAUGUGAAGAGAAAGCCCAUCUGCCUUCGGCCCUCUUGCUUCCUGAGCCAGAUGCUGUUGUGGAGACAUGAUGUUUGGGGUAAGAGCAGCCAUCUCUUCAAAACAAACGGGACCACCACUGACGCAUUAAUGAUGGCAGAGCUGAAGGACCCGAAGAGUGUAGGUCCUUGGAGCAACACUGAUCUAUUCAACGAAACUUGGUCUACCUAUCUCCAGAUUUCUGGUCAACAAUAAAUGUCUUUUAUUGUUUAA